ACGCUCGACACCUACGGGAGGCAGCAGUGGGGAAUAUUGCACAAUGGGGGAAACCCUGAUGCAGCGACGCCGCGUGGAGGAAGAAGGUCUUCGGAUUGUAAACUCCUGUUGUUGGGAAAAGAGGAUGGUACCCAACAAGGAAGUGACGGCUAACUACGUGCCACAGCCGCGGUAAUCUGAGCGGGCUGGCAAGGC
rnacentral:rRNA from 1 species